rnacentral:rRNA from 1 species
AGCCUGCGGUUUAAUCGGACUCAACGCCGGGAAGCUCACCGGAUAAGACAGCGGAAUGAUAGCCGGGCUGAAGACUCUGCUUGACUAGCUGAGAGGAGGUGCAUGGCCGUCGUCAGUUCGUACUGUGAAGCAUCCUGUUAAGUCAGGCAACGAGCGAGACCCACGCCAACAGUUGCCAGCAUGUCCUCCGGGAUGGUGGGGACACUGUUGGGACCGCCUCUGCUAAAGAGGAGGAAGGAAUGGGCAACGGUAGGUCAGCAUGCCCCGAAUUAUCCGGGCUACACGCGGGCUACAAUGGUCAGGACAAUGGGCAUCAACACCGAAAGGUGAAGGCAAUCUCUUAAACCUGUCCUUAGUUCGGAUUGUGGGCUGCAACUCGCCCACAUGAAGCUGGAAUCUGUAGUAAUCGCGUCUCAAAAUAGCGCGGUGAAUAUGUCCCUGCUCCUU